AGGAUGUAGGUGGUAUGCGAGCGUUGUCAAGGCGACAGGCGGGGGCGUGGCCUCGAUGCGUAGCAUCAUCAUCAUCAUCAUAGACGGAGAGAGAGAGAGAGAGAGAGAGAGGCGAUCAGACAGCAGGAGCAGCAUCAGAGAAGCACCGGAGCGAAUCUGCCAACCAUUCCAACCAGAGUAAACAUUCAAAUCUAAGAGACUCCACAGUGGCGGAUUAAACCCGGAGACUCCCCAGUUCCUCCAGAGACAUUCCAGUUCAUUCAGCCAGUCAGCAGACUAACGCCGGGCUAUUUUAAGCACAACACAAGCGGGUCAGUCAGACAGCUCUGGAUGUGAAUGUGCGCUUGCUGAUGAGAUCAGACUCUUCUCUCGUUUGCCGUGUUUCCUCACAUUCUCACAGGCUGUCUGUGGACGGGAUCGCAUCUCAGAAAGCAUCCUGUCUAAACUCAUUCAUACAGGUUUUCAGCUGGACUGAUGAGAAUAAUUCGGUGGAAAAGAAGCUUUGACUGGCACGAACAAGGGAAAUAGGGGGUCAUACCUCUCUGAUAGAUACAUCCAGGAUAUCUGCCAUCUUCAGCUUGUGGAUGGCCAGGCACGUGUGCCUUGUUUAACCUUGGCAGAGAUGGCACCAGGAUGCACUGUGGGAUGAUCCAUCAAUCAGCAUACAGGAUUUAAAGGGAUGUCCUAAUAGCAGAUACAGCAGGACUCCUUCAAAUGUGUGGAGUUUAUGUCUCGACAGGCCAGAGCUGUUCUGACAGCAUAUUAGGAUUAAGAGUCAAGGAGAUAUCUGAGACCAACCCUGUGAAAACAGUUCAUGGCGAUGGAACGUAACAGAGUUAUCACUUUUCACCUCUGCAACAUCGUCACAUCAAGCUGCCAAAACUGAAGGCAACACCGGCUACUUCUCUCACUCGCCCUCCUUCUGGUCCCCUCUGUUUUCCUAAUACCUGGUUUUAUUU